rnacentral:rRNA from 1 species
UACGUAGGGGGCAAGCGUUGUCCGGAUUUAUUGGGCGUAAAGGGCGCGUAGGCGGCCAUUCAAGUGACGGGUGAAAGCCCUCGGCUUAACCGAGGAACUGCCUGUCAGACUGGAUGGCUCGAGACCGGGAGAGGUGAGUGGAAUUCCCAGUGUAGCGGUGAAAUGCGUAGAUAUUGGGAGGAACACCAGUGGCGAAGGCGGCUCACUGGACCGGAACUGACGCUGAUGCGCGAAAGCGUGGGGAGCAAACAGG